CUCAUUUCUUCAUCUUCUUCCUCUUUUUUUGUUCCUUCGUUAUGUUAUAUGUCUUAAGUAUCUACACAUGUUUCAUUCGCUGGGAAUCGAAUUUGUUGCAUGGAAAAUCCCUAAUGUAUUGGCCUGUGUGAUUUGGCUUUAGGAAAGAAAGUUGUGCUUUUCUUCAUGUUGGGUCAAUGAAUAACCCUCCUGAGGUCAAAAUCUCGCAACUUGAUUUUAGGCAUUGAUUAGUAAAGCUUAUUUCUGUAUCAUCCUGCUCUUUCUUGUUCACUAUUAAGUUGUGUGGGUUCCUUGACUUGAAAGU